GGCCCCGUCGUCUAGUGGUCUAGGACACUUGGUUCUCAUCCAAGAGAUCAUGAGUUCAACUCUCAUCGGGGUCACAA
rnacentral:tRNA from 4 species